GAUGAACGCUAGCUACAGGCUUAACACAUGCAAGUCGAGGGGAAACGACAUCGAAAGCUUGCUUUUGAUGGGCGUCGACCGGCGCACGGGUGAGUAACGCGUAUCCAACCUGCCCAUCACUUGGGGAUAACCUUGCGAAAGUAAGACUAAUACCCAAUGAUAUCUCUAGAAGACAUCUGAAAGAGAUUAAAGAUUUAUCGGUGAUGGAUGGGGAUGCGUCUGAUUAGCUUGUUGGCGGGGUAACGGCCCACCAAGGCAACGAUCAGUAGGGGAUCUGAGAGGAAGGUCCCCCACAUUGGAACUGAGACACGGUCCAAACUCCUACGGGAGGCAGCAGUGAGGAAUAUUGGUCAAUGGGCGAGAGCAUGAACCAGCCAAGUAGCGUGCAGGAAGACGGCCCUAUGGGUUGUAAACUGCUUUUAUAAGGGAAUAAAGUGAGAGUCGUGACUCUUUUUGUAUGUACCUUAUGAAUAAGGACCGGCUAAUUCCGUG
rnacentral:rRNA from 1 species